GUCUUCUUGGGUUAGAAUAUGAAGUCAGGCCUGCCCGGUGAAACUUUUAAACGGCCGCGGUAUAUUGACCGUGCAAAGGUAGCAUAAUCAUUAGUCUUUUAAUAGAGGGCUGGAAUGAAUGGUUUAACGAAAUACUAACUGUCUCAUUUAUGAUAUUAAAAUUUAAAGUUUGAGUUAAAAUGCUUAAAUUUUUUUGUAGGACGAGAAGACCCUAUAGAGCUUUACAUUUAUUUUUUGGUAUUAUUUUGAUUAUAAUUUUUUAUUAUUUUUAUAAUGUUUAGUUGGGGUGACUGGAAAUAUAUUAUUAACUUUUCUGUAAUUGUUACAUAAAUUAAUGAGUUUUUGAUCCAAUAAUAUUGAUUAUUAGAUUAAGUUACCUUAGGGAUAACAGCGUAAUUUUCUUUUGGAGUUCAAAUUUACAAGGAAGCUUGCGACCUCGAUGUUGGAUUAAGAUAAUAAUUUGGUGUAGUAGCUUUAAUUGAUAGGUCUGUUCGACCUUUAAAAUCUUACAUGAUCUGAGUUCAGACCGG
rnacentral:rRNA from 1 species